rnacentral:misc_RNA from 1 species
GAGAGCUACUUAGGAGUGAUAAAAUUAGGAUAGGGUUCAAGUACUUGAAAAAUUGGAUCACUUGGUAAGUUGAUUCAAAUAUAGUUGUGGAGCGUGAAUGUUGCUACUAUGAUUCUUAUUUGUGUCUCAACACUGAAUUGUGACAUUUUAUUCAGGAUCUUCCAUCUCUGCUUCAAAACUCCAAAAAUUCUCUCAAUACAACUUCUCAAGGAUGAGUGUGCACGGUUAAAUACUUUUUGAGCAUUUUGUGGAGGCUUAUGUUGAAACUAUGAUUGAUGGUACCUUAACCUUGAAUAUGGUUUCUAGGUAACCUUCUCUGUCUGGAUAUCCUUUAUCCAUCAAGUAGUACCUACCUUUUGGCAGCUUAG